UUUUACCACCAACGCAGGCUCCCAGUUCUCUGGGGGUUGACGGUAGGUGGGGAAUAAGGACCGGCUAACUACGUGCCAGCAGCCGCGGUAAUACGUAGGGUCCGAGCGUUGUCCGGAAUUAUUGGGCGUAAAGAGCUCGUAGGCGGCGUGUCGCGUCUGCUGUGAAAGACCGGGGCUUAACUCCGGUUCUGCAGUGGAUACGGGCAUGCUAGAGGUAGGUAGGGGAGACUGGAAUUCCUGGUGUAGCGGUGAAAUGCGCAGAUAUCAGGAGGAACACCGGUGGCGAAGGCGGGUCUCUGGGCCUUACCUGACGCUGAGGAGCGAAAGCAUGGGGAGCGAACAGG
rnacentral:rRNA from 1 species